CAGCUGGCGGCAUGCCUUACACAUGCAAGUCGAGCGGCAGCGCGGGGGCAACCCUGGCGGCGAGCGGCGAACGGGUGAGUAAUGCAUCGGAACGUGUCCUCUUGUGGGGGAUAACCAGUCGAAAGACUGGCUAAUACCGCAUGAGCUCAAGAGAGGAAAGCAGGGGACCCGCAAGGGCCUUGCGCGAGAGGAGCGGCCGAUGCCGGAUUAGCUAGUUGGCGGGGUAACGGCCCACCAAGGCGACGAUCCGUAGCUGGUCUGAGAGGACGACCAGCCACACUGGGACUGAGACACGGCCCAGACUCCUACGGGAGGCAGCAGUGGGGAAUUUUGGACAAUGGGGGCAACCCUGAUCCAGCCAUGCCGCGUGUGUGAAGAAGGCCUUCGGGUUGUAAAGCACUUUCGGACGGAACGAAAUCGCGCGGGCGAAUAUCCCGCGUGGAUGACGGUACCGUAAGAAGAAGCACCGGCUAACUACGUGCCAGCAGCCGCGGUAAUACGUAGGGUGCGAGCGUUAAUCGGAAUUACUGGGCGUAAAGUGGUGCGCAGGCGGCCGCGCAAGUCGAGUGU
rnacentral:rRNA from 1 species